UUAUUUGCUUUUACCGAUAGAUGUGCACAAUCAAAAAAGUUUGGAGCCCACUGGCCUAAAUCGCAAGCCAAAGGUUAAUACCAAAACAAAGGUGGACAUCAGCAUCUCACUCAGCCACUUUGCAGACAUAAAGCAGCUGAGUUUCAGUCAGCUCCAAGGGUUUGCAUCUCUCCUCUUUUCCUCCGCUGUUACCUAAUGAGGGGUCAGGAGGCUUAUGGGGACCUCAGGCACAGAACCAAAGCAAGCACAAAGCUCACUGCUGGCUGCUGAAGAUGGGGGAUUCCCAUUUGAGGUUGUGUGGAGGGGGGAAACAUGCACUUUCCCCAUCUUCGCACUGUGUCAGGUGUCCCCUCCACUUCAGCCAACAGGCAAUUCAGAAGUCGAACCGCCUCUUGCCCAGUUCUUCUUGUAGAAAAGGCUUUGUUUUUUUUCUGCCCAUACUUCAGAGAAUUGCUGUGUGCCCAGCCACGGUGCAGCAGAGCUGCCUCCUGCCUGGAGGAACCACCCUCUCCCCAGCCAUGGGGUUGGAAAAGCACCAUCUCCCUGCCCACAGCAUGUGCUGGUUAUCUACAGUUAACCUAUAGCUAUAGCUGUCAGGAGGACGCAGAGGGGUGGGUGCCCUCACAUGCCUUUCCAGCCCAUUUGAGAUGAAAGCAAAGCAGAGCUGUGGCUGCCACCAGGCACAGCUAUGUCCCUCCUGUCUACCUGAUGGCUUGGGGUGGUGGUGGUGCCCGGGGUGCCCAGGUGGGUGGCCAGCCUGUCUCUGUGGGAAGUUUGAGGGGCUCUAGGCCAAUGCUCUGGUCCAGGGGAUGGACACCAGGCACCUCCAGCCCAGCUACCCCAUCACAGCCGUCACUUCCAGUCACGCAUAGCUGGUGCUUAAUGAAAAAGGGAAAUGCAAGAUGAAAAAGGAAUGAUUAGUGCAGAGCAAUAAUAGUGAUCAGAUGCAGUGAGAUAUGGUAGCAAUAUAUUAAAUAAGGAACAGAAAAAAAGCCAGAUGGUUGCUCUGAUUUACUUUACAACUCCAGAUGACUUUACAAGAGGUCACUUCAUGGAACUGAAAGGCAAGUGCUUCAGGUUGGAUGAGAGUAAACAUUUCAUGUCUGCCAACAUAACAUGUAAGAGGCCAAGGCCACAACUCAAAUGCUGUGUUCAGUUUUGGGCCCCUCAUCAAAGGAAAGACACUGAGGUGCUGGAGAGAGUUCAGAGGAGGACGAUUAGGCUGGUGAGAGGCCUGGAGCACAAGACAGAUGAGGAGCAGCUGAGGGAACUGGGGCUGUUUAGCCUGGAGAAAAGGAGGCUGAGGGGAGACCUUAUUGCUGUCUGCAACUACCUGAAAGGACGUUGUAGCAUAGAGGGUGCUGGUCUCCCAAGUAGCAAGUGGUAGGAUGAGAGGAAAUGGCCUCAAGUGGCACCAGGGGAGGUUUAGAUUAGAUAUUAGGAAAAAAAUCUGCCUAGAAAGGGUUGUUGGGCAUUGGGACAGGCUGCCCAGGGAAGUGGUUGAGUCACUGUCCAUGGAAGUGUUUAAAAGAUGCAUGGAUGAGGUUCUUAUUGACAUGGUUUAGAGGUGGACUUCGCAGUGUUAGGUGUACCAUUGGUCUCAAUGAUCUUAAAGGUGUUUUCUAACCGAAAUCAUUCUAUGAGUCUAUGAUGUCUCUGCAGGGACUUCUCCCACUCCAGCCAGCAUUUCCAGGGUUGCUAAGGGGUCACUGCAGGCAUUGUGGGGGUCUCCUGCCAUCAACCCAAACUUCUCGUUGCUUUGUUCUCCCACCACAUCAUCCUGCCAGUAGCCUGGGAGGGCUGUGAGAGGUGCUGCUGCUCUGGAACAGCACCCACUUCACAGAGGUUGCACAGUGAACAUGCUGGUUUUACAUGCACACAUGCUGUGCAUGUCUUUGGGGGAGCGGGUAUUUCUGUGAGGUUGCCUGCAUUAAUUUUUAAUUGCAUCUAUGCUUUUGCGCCAUGAGUGUGCCAUAGUGAAUAGAGGUAAAUAUGCCCAUACAGCCAUGGGGACAGCAGCAUAUCCUUUUAUAUGCUGUGCAGACGGUGUGUAGGUAUCUCAGGUGUCGCAUGUCUGGCAUUUGUGGAUCCAACAGUAUCACCCCUCCAAGGUGUUUGAUUCGCCCUUAUUGUCAGAUGAAUGGGCAGGGAGCGCAGGGCGCUGCUGGCUGUAUGUACAGGGUGUGUGCAGUCUUGCCUGUCAGGGCAGCAUUUAGACCUAAGUAAGGAGGAUAACUGUCAGAUGGUAAAUGAUUAAAUAGUUGCUUUAAUAAUCCAAGUUUAGCCUAGUGGUGAAAAAUCAUGUGAUCUCAACAGGAAUAUCUAUUAUAAAGCCUUUUUAACCAGUAUGUAAGAAAUCUGUGGAGCUCAUUGCGGGAUACCUGAGAAGCCACUUGACCUUUUAUUUUUUUUUUAAUUGACUAAGAAAAUACCUCUGUGUUUAAAAGCAGUGUGAAAUAGUGCCUCAGUUCUGAGUGCUAAAGAACCCUCCCAGAUGUACGUUGAGCCCUGUAACUUAAAGCUGAUCACUGAAGUCAAGAGGGAAUUUAUUUUUCUGACACAGAAUACUUGAAUUCUCUACAGAAUUUUUGGCUUUUCAUGCCUUGAGACAAGAAACGCUACUGCUGUCAGUUGACCGUGGCCCAGUGUGUGCAAGUGAAUGUGUUUUGGGAGCACAGAACCAGGGAGGAGACGUGAACACAGGGGUGGGUGCUACCAGCAUGGCUGGGAAAGGGGUGUCUUUGCAGUCGGUGUGUCAGCGUGUGCAUGUGUGUCCGUGUCCCUGUGGUGCAGUCAUACCUGGGCUAUUCUCUGCAGAAAGUCAAGAUGGCAGCGUCUGGGAAAGGAGCCGGGACUCACUGACUGGGAUUUGCUUGUUCUCUGAAGAUGCUGGAAAUUCAGGAUCCCGGAGGGUGGGCAUUUUGCUGCUGAUAGUGAGGUUCCCCUCUUCUUCUGGAGCCCUCUGAGGGGAAAGCACCAGCCUUUCUUCAGAUGUUCCAAGACGGUUGUUGUGACCAUCUGGGUAAGACUGAACUUUGCUGGGAGAAAGGAGUUACAAUCAUACUGCAGGCAACGGUCUCAAGGCAGCCAGGUAGAGGCUGUGCAUGUGUGGAUGAAAUAAGAGCUCUGCAAAAGAUAACUGCCCCUGCAAAUACUGGAAACGCUUCAGCUUGUCGGUCUCACCCUUAUUUGAGUUCGGUUUACCAGUUAAGG